rnacentral:rRNA from 1 species
UUCUGGCUCAGGAUGAACGCUGGCGGCGUGCUUAACACAUGCAAGUCGAACGGAGUUUUUAACGGAAGUUUCGGAUGGAAGUUUAGAACUUAGUGGCGGACGGGUGAGUAACGCGUGGGUAACCUGCCUCAUACAGGGGGAUAACAGUUAGAAAUGACUGCUAACACCGCAUAAUAUAGCGAAACCGCAUGAUUUUGCUAUCAAAUAUUUAUAGGUAUGAGAUGGGCCCGCGUCUGAUUAGCUAGUUGGUGGGGUAAAAGCCUACCAAGGCGACGAUCAGUAGCCGGCUUGAGAGAGUGACCGGCCACAUUGGGACUGAGACACGGCCCAAACUCCUACGGGAGGCAGCAGUGGGGAAUAUUGGACAAUGGGGGAAACCCUGAUCCAGCCGACGCCGCGUGAGUGAAGAAGUAUUUCGGUAUGUAAAGCUCUAUCAGCAGGGAAGAUAAUGACAGUACCUGACUAAGAAGCCCCGGCUAACUACGUGCCAGCCGCCGC